UACGUAGGGUGCGAGCGUUGUCCGGAAUUAUUGGGCGUAAAGAGCUCGUAGGCGGUUUGUCGCGUCUGCUGUGAAAACUCGGGGCUUAACUCCGGGCCUGCAGUGGGUACGGGCAGACUAGAGUGCGGUAGGGGAGACUGGAAUUCCUGGUGUAGCGGUGAAAUGCGCAGAUAUCAGGAGGGACACCGGUGGCGAAGGCGGGUCUCUGGGCCGUAACUGACGCUGAGGAGCGAAAGCGUGGGGAGCGAACAGG
rnacentral:rRNA from 1 species